rnacentral:rRNA from 1 species
CACGUAGGGCGCAAGCGUUGUCCGGAAUUAUUGGGCGUAAAGAGCUCGUAGGCGGUCUGUUACGUCCGCUGUGAAAACUCGGGGCUUAACCCCGAGCCUGCAGUGGAUACGGGCAGACUAGAGGUAGGCAGGGGAGAGCGGAACUCCUGGUGUAGCGGUGGAAUGCGCAGAUAUCAGGAAGAACACCGGUGGCGAAGGCGGCUCUCUGGGCCUUACCUGACGCUGAGGAGCGAAAGCGUGGGUAGCGAACAGG